UUUAUAAUACGGUAUUAAUUACUAAGGGAGGCUAGGGAUAGCAAGCCAGUAGUUAAUAUUAGGCCCUUUUCGCCGAGGGAUCGGGUUAAGGGGAGGCUAAGAAAGUAGCAUAACAAUUAAUCAAACUAAUAUUCAAGGGUAGUAUGUAAGAGAGAGUGGAAUAAAUGAAAUUGUAAACCCCCAACAACAUCCACUCAUCCAUUGUUUUCCUUU
rnacentral:lncRNA from 1 species